rnacentral:lncRNA from 1 species
GAUUGACUACAUAGUAAAGACUUUGUUUGACUUUGAAUUUGUUCAGGUGUAACAUGUUCAUUUAAUUUGCUUUUAAUGUUAAUAAGUUUUUUUUUUUACUUUUACAGUGCAGGAUGAUAAACUUUGAUAAAACCACUUUGCAAUUGUUAUUAGUAGUAGUAUUUAUAAUGUACUUUUAGUGAUAGGUUUUUGUGCAUUUUAGGGUAAAACUUAAAUAUGAAGACAGUCAUUGUAGUGUUGUCCAUCCUGGGCCUUUGUCUCGGCGCUCCUGUAAGUUUCAUGAAAACCAAUAAAUUUAAUCUAUUAAAGCAGAAUAUUGAAUCAUUCUAAACAAUGUUGUCUUUCUUCUUACAGGUGGAGCAUGAUAUGGAUAGAGAUAAUGAGCAAGAAAUUGAUGAGGGUCAGCAAUUUGCUGGUUCUCCGCUGGAUCAGACAGACCCCAUUACCAGGACAAUCCUCUACCCUGUUCCAAGAGCUGAUGGCUUCCUGGGAAACCUUUUUAUGAACCCUUUUCUAAACCCAUAUGGAUCUCACCUUUAUUACCCGCAGUACCCACUGUACUCAGGUUACCCAACUUACCCACACUACCCUGCCUAUUCACUGCCACCUGUUAUAAUACACUUGCCUCAGAGAAACCCCUGAAACUGGCAAAAUCGUAACGUCAAUUGCAUUAUCUAUACUUCAAACAGACAAAUAUUGUCUUUAUUUUGCGUAAUGCUAUGACAUAUUUGAUUUCAAUUUAUCAGACUUUACACUUGUGUUACUUUGCCUUUUUUCUUAGUUUUUCUUAUAUUUUACUAUUGUUUCUUAUUAUAUUCACCUAUUCCUGUUUGUUUUCUCCACUGUAUUUAGUAUUGCAAACUCAUUUCCCCCCCAAAAAAAAUAUUUAGAGCAACAUAUAUCUGAUUCCUUCAGCCAGAUUAAUCAAACAAACACAAUAUCUCUAUUUCCAAGAUGGUGUCAACUAGUGUGAGUAUAGCAAAGUGAUGUGGAAAAGAGCCAGUACAUGUGGAAUUUCUAUGUUGCACAAAUUGUACAAAUGUGCAAUACUCAAUAAAUAUACUAUACUAUGUUUGGUUAUGUGGGUGUGUGUGUUCUCAACAUUUGCUUGUUUAAUAAUUUCUAGACAGACCACUGUAAAGCAAACAUUACAAAACUGAAGAUAUAUUACAUAUAUAUGGGCAAUAUUACACAAGUAGCAGUGCGAUAUGGCUGUAUAUCAGCACUGGUGAGAGGCGUGCGUUGGCUCGAGUCAGCAGGCCGAGUGCUUUGGUUCCCCUCACCAAUGCCGGUAUACAGCCAUUUCGCACUGCUACAAGUGUGAUAUUGCGCUUAUACACUCUCAGAAAGUACAAGGUCC